rnacentral:rRNA from 1 species
AUUGAACGCUGGCGGCAGGCCUAACACAUGCAAGUCGAGCGAGCGGCGGACGGGUGAGUAAUGUCUGGGAAACUGCCUGAUGGAGGGGGAUAACUAAUGGAAACGGUAGCUACUACCGCAUACCAUCAGAUGUGCCCAGAUGGGAUUAGCUAGUAGGUGGGGUGAUGGCUCACCUGGGCGACGAUCCCUAGCUGGUCUGAGAGGAUGACCAGCCACCAUGGAACUGAGACACGGUCCCGCCCCCUACGGGAGGCAGCAGUGGGGUAUAUUGCAAAAUGGGCGCAAGCUUGAUGCAGCGAUGCCGCGUGUGUGAAGAUGGCCUUCGGGUUGUAAAGCACUUUCAGCGAGGAGGGGUUCUCGCAGAAAAGCACCGGCUAACUCCGUGCCAGCAGCCGCGGUAAUAC